rnacentral:rRNA from 1 species
GAAUUUUAUAUAGAUCUAUAUUAAGAGAUUAGUAGUUAGUAUUUAUGGGUUUAUAUUUUAUUGGGAGGAUAAUUAAAUUAAUAAAACUUAAAUUAAUAGAGGAAAGUCAUUAAUUUAUGAGUUAGAGAUUGGUUAGUAAAUUUAAUAAGAAUUAAUUACCUUAGGGAUAACAGCGUGAUAUUUUUGGAGAGAUCUUAUUGAUAAAAAUGAUUGC